ACCUAGCGGCGGACGGGUGAGUAAUGCUUAGGAAUCUGCCAUUUAGUGGGGGACAACAUUCCGAAAGGAAUGCUAAUACCGCAUACGUCCUACGGGAGAAAGCAGGGGAUCUUCGGACCUUGCGCUAAAUGAUGAGCCUAAGUCGGAUUAGCUAGUUGGUGGGGUAAAGGCCUACCAAGGCGACGAUCUGUAGCGGGUCUGAGAGGAUGAUCCGCCACACUGGGACUGAGACACGGCCCAGACUCCUACGGGAGGCAGCAGUGGGGAAUAUUGGACAAUGGGCGCAAGCCUGAUCCAGCCAUGCCGCGUGUGUGAAGAAGGCCUUUUGGUUGUAAAGCACUUUAAGCGAGGAGGAGGCUCUCUUAGUUAAUACCUAAGAUGAGUGGACGUUACUCGCAGAAUAAGCACCGGCUAACUCUGUGCCAGCAGCCGCGGUAAUACAGAGGGUGCGAGCGUUAAUCGGAUUUACUGGGCGUAAAGCGUGCGUAGGCGGCUUUUUAAGUCGGAUGUGAAAUCCCCGAGCUUAACUUGGGAAUUGCAUUCGAUACUGGGAAGCUAGAGUAUGGGAGAGGAUGGUAGAAUUCCAGGUGUAGCGGUGAAAUGCGUAGAGAUCUGGAGGAAUACCGAUGGCGAAGGCAGCCAUCUGGCCUAAUACUGACGCUGAGGUACGAAAGCAUGGGGAGCAAACAGGAUUAGAU
rnacentral:rRNA from 1 species